rnacentral:rRNA from 1 species
GAUCCUGGCUCAGGAUGAACGCUAGCUACAGGCUUAACACAUGCAAGUCGAGGGGCAGCAUUUUAGUUUGCUUGCAAACUAAAGAUGGCGACCGGCGCACGGGUGAGUAACACGUAUCCAACCUGCCGAUAACUCAGGGGAUAGCCUUUCGAAAGAAAGAUUAAUACCUGAUGGGCAUAGGAUUAUCGCAUGAUAAUCCUAUUAAAGAAUUUCGGUUAUCGAUGGGGAUGCGUUCCAUUAG